rnacentral:rRNA from 1 species
UGGGGAAUAUUGGACAAUGGGCGAAAGCCUGAUCCAGCCAUGCCGCGUGUGUGAAGAAGGUCUUCGGAUUGUAAAGCACUUUAAGUUGGGAGGAAGGGUUGUAGAUUAAUACUCUGCAAUUUUGACGUUACCGACAGAAUAAGCACCGGCUAACUCUGUGCCAGCAGCCGCGGUAAUACAGAGGGUGCAAGCGUUAAUCGGAAUUACUGGGCGUAAAGCGCGCGUAGGUGGUUAGUUAAGUUGGAGGUGAAAUCCCCGGGCUCAACCUGGGAACUGCAUUCAAAACUGACUGACUAGAGUAUGGUAGAGGGUGGUGGAAUUUCCUGUGUAGCGGUGAAAUGCGUAGAUAUAGGAAGGAACACCAGUGGCGAAGGCGACCACCUGGACUGAUACUGACACUGAGGUGCGAAAGCGUGGGGAGCAAACA